UUGCUAAAGCUCAAGUUAAUGAGAGUUCUUUUUUCAUGUAUGAAAAGAACUUGUUCAGUCAGAUUCUUCUCUGGGUGAAUCACUCCUUGGGAGGGAGGAAGCUUAUCAAGAAGUCCCCUACCUUUUUCACAAGGCCCUCAGAGUGCUACCCUGUUUGCAAAGUGUUAUCCAGGGGGUUCAGAAGAACAAACUCACCUCUCCUGGGGCAGCCAAACUAAGGUCUGUCUCCUCCAAAAAGCCUAUUCUGAUGACUUCAUCUCCAUUAUCUUCCUGUUUCUUCUGAUUGACUAGAGCUCGUGAUUAGGUUAAAUUCAAUAAUCACUGAAAACCCUCUUUGCUGAGUGUUGGGGGAAGUGGGGAGAGGGUGGUGGGAUCUGAGGUGGAGAGAGGGCUCAAGGGCAGAUUCCAGCAGUCCACCUACCUGGUCCUCAGGAAUUCACAGUCUGGAAGAACACUUGUUAGACAUUUACACCCUGCCAGGCAAGGAGUGGUAAGUGCAAAAGAGACUUGGAAUGUAUAAAGAAAGGAGAGGUUAAUUCAGACUGGGAAUGCCUAGGAAGGCUUCUUAGAGAAGAUGAGAUUCUAGCCAAGUCUUAAAAAAAUGUAUGGGAUCUGGGGAAGAGGUUAGAUCUCUGGGUAGACCCAGUCUGGUGAGCUGUGGGAGGGUUUGAACAAUACAAGGUAGAUGGAGGAAGUUGGAGCACAGGGCAUAUAGUGAGAUGGAUGGUUGUUGAAGUAGGUAGAAAUCUACAUCCCCAAAUUGAGGUGUGCAAAAUAUCACACUUCUUUACUCUGCUGAGAUUCACUUAGCCCAGACCCUGAGCCCCCACUGCCACCAAGCAGGUGGGAAAUCCCAUCUCGGCCAUGAGAGGCUGUUCUCCUAGAAUUACACAGGAGUGGGUGGUCCUUGUGUGUCCCCAGAAAGUGGGGCAGGAACCACUGUUUAACUCAACCAUAGUCACCACCAAGGUCUUCAGUGUCAGAGCCUGAGUGGUCAUGUGAAUGCUCUCAGUUUCCACUUUGAGAUGGAGAGCAGGCAUCUUGCCUUCUCUGGGCCUCCCUGGGCACCCCAUGCAGGCUUGUGUUUCUGAGGACCUUCACCCUCUGCACCUUAUUUGAGAAGCAGCCACUUACAAGGGGAAGUAACUCCGUUUUUCCUCUUGCUGCCUUCAAAGGCAGCCCUUACAUCCUUGUCCUGCUUCGGGGACCCUUAGUAUAAUUGUAUUAGUUCAAAAUGCUAUAACAAAAUGCCACAUCUGUGGAAAGACACUUGUUAGAUUCACACUCUUACGCAUUAUACAGAUGUCAUCUAUUUUCUCACUGUUCUGGAGGCUGAAGAGUUCAAGAUCAGGUGCUGGCAGAUUUGGUUCUUGGUGAGGACUCCCUUCCUGGCUUGCAGGCGGCUGUCUUCUCACUGUGUCCUCUCUCAGCCUUUCCUCAGGCAUGUGCUUCCAGGGAGAGAGCUCUCCUCUCUCCUCUUCUUAUAAGGGCACUAAUCCCAUCAGGAGGGCCCCACUCUUAUGACCAAACUGAAAUCCAGUCAUCUCCCAAAGUCCCCACUUCCAAAUGUCAUUAUAUUAGAGUUUCCUAAGGCUACAGUAACAAAUUACCACAAACUUGGUGGCUUGUAACAAUAGAACCGUGUUUUCUCAUUCUUUUGGAGGCCAGAAGUCUAAAAUUUUUAUCACUGGGCUAAAAUCAAGGGUCAGCAGAACCCCCUCCUUCCAAAAGCUCUAGUUUCUAGGCCCUCUUGGCUUCUUUUAGUUUUUAGUGCCUCUGACAUUCCUUGGCUUGUGGCUACAUCACUCCAGUUCUCAAGGUCAACAUCCCCACAUCUCUCUGUUCAACUCUUCCCAUCACUUUCUCCUCUAUGUGUGUGUCAAGUUUCCUUCUGCCUCCCUUUUAUAGAUAUGCGGGACUGCUUUGAGGGCCUACCUGGAAAAUCCAGAAUAAUCUCCCAGGCUCAAUAGCCAUAAUUUAAUCAUGACUCUAAGACAUUUUUCCCAUAUAAGAGAAUAUUUACAGGUCCCACUGAUGAGUACAUACACAGACAUCUCAUAGGGGCCAGUUUUCAGCCCACCAUAGAGAUACUCUUAUGACCAGCCCCAGAGACCCCUAUUAGAAAUUAUUAAUGGGGUGAUUAUCCAGUCUGUAGACUAUGUGGGCUAUUGUUUUUCUUCUCCAUUUAUCUUUUUUUCUGCCCCAUUACCCUAGGAGUUGGGAGAGAAAACUCAAAGAAUUCAAUUUAACAAUUAUCAACUCUGGUAAAAGAUGUAUGAAGAGCCUCAUUAGUUGACUAAAAUGAAAAUAAUACUACCUGGGAUUUGUUUAUUUCUUGCCUAAUCGAGCUCAGCUAAUCAAGAAUCAAUGAUAUAUACAUGCAGUAGCGAAUGCAGAGGUAGGUCAAAUAAAUCCUUCAUUUUCUUUUCGUAUUUUCUUUAGGCUUUUAGAAUGCUAGUUUAGCCAAUUGCAAAUUAAUGAGCCAUGGAAGAGUGGCUUGUGAAAUACUGACCUAAGGGGCAGGUUCUGUUUCUGUUUACUCUGACCGGUUCCUGGGAGAAGUGUGAAAAAUGAAAAAAAAAAAAAUGGUUAUAUUUAUUUUCUGUAUAUUGCAUUAGGAUUCUUUAAAGAUAGUAGUUGUAAUGGAUUCAAAUUCAUUUUGCACAAAAGCUCUAGCAAAUAAAACAUUCUCAGCGCACUUCGGUGUUUCUAAUGAAAUAUUUGGAACUGUGGGUUUAAAUAUUUGUAAAUUCAUUCAUUUAUUUACCUGUUUAUUCAGCAACUAUUUAUUAACCCAGUGCCAACCACAUGUCUGCCACUGUGCUAGUUGCUGGGUACCUUAAAAGCUUGAAUGUACCUUAUUGGAUGGCUUAAAUACUGGAGAAUCUAGUUUGAUUAACAUGCACGGGUUUGCACUCCUAAGAAGGGUGUUAAAGGAAGUCUGAGUCGGCAUUGGCCUUCCCUUGCUCCUCUGAGUUUCCAGCAGCACUAGGAGGGGUGUGCAUGCUACAGAUAGAAGUACCUCGUUCCAAUUCCCCCCAGCCUGGCUGCAUCUGAAAAUAGCUCUGGGGCAGCCAUGCUCAAACAACUGAAAUGGGGACUGGAAGACAUGCCUUUGAGGAUUGAAAUUUAUGUUUCAACAGCUCCUUGUGAAAUAAAGGUCUGGGUGGCUCACUGAAGAGAGCCAAUUAAAAUUAUCCUAACUCCCAGGAAAAAACUAAGUCAUCCACUUUAACAGGCUAAUACGUCAGUCAACUGAAGAGUGAUCAUUAUCAAGUUGUCAAUUUAUCUGAUUUUAGUGCUACAUAGACACAAACACAAAUGUUGCAUAGAUGUAAGCUCCUUUUCCUCUGUACCUCCUUCGUGACCCCACUAUGUAUGCUUAUAAUUUUUAUGGUAAAUAAAUAAUGAUAAACUAAUUUCUUUCUUUGUUAAAAACUCUUUGUUUACAGUUCAGCCUGUGUUAGGAUGGUUGACUUUCUUAAUUGCUUGGCAUGCACUAAAAACAAGAAGCAAAUGAGUGUAACUUAAAAAUAGAGCUAGCCAUAGAGAGGAGGGUUGGGAAGCACACAGCACCAUCCUGGUACUAAGAAACUGUGUAUGAUCCAGAAAACAGGAAUUCUGUUGGGAAUGACUAGGCUCUUUUUUGGCAAGGAAAACUGCAUACUAAUUCAUUCACUUCUCUUCCUAUUUAAAAAUGUGAAGGAGUUCCUGUCGUGGCUCCGCAGAAAUGAAUCUGACUAGCAUCCAUGAGGACGCAGGAUCGAUCCCUGGCCUCGCUCAGUGGGUUAAGGAUCCAGCGUUGGCUGUGAGCUGUGGUGUAGGUCUGUAGCUCUGAUUCGACCCCAAGACUGGGAAUCUCCAUGUGACAUGGGUGCAGCCCCCCCCCCCAAAAAAAAGAAAAAGCAAAGAAAAAGAAACCAUUGAAUACACAUACACAUUAUACACAUUCUCUGGGACACAGUAGUCAAUUCCCAGCCUUUGAUUAUCUUUUCCUUCCGACACACCCCCAAACUCUUUUUCUGAAGUAUUGGUUAGGAGAUAGUUUUAUCACUCAGCUUGGGUGUGGUGGAUCUAGGCUGUUCAAAUGACCUGGCAUGGGCUGGGAAGGAUUAUACCUUGCAUUGAUGUGGUGGGGUGGGGGUGGACAGAGGUGAGGACCCCAAAAGCUCUCAGGUGGAGCAGAAAGGACCAGAAACUGGUUCUGCCCAUUGCUAUCUACCUGACCAGGGCCAGCAAAUCAACCCUUUCUGAACUGUACUAUAAAAUGUAAGUGGUGAUAAGCCCAGUGAUUGCUGAGUUGGUAUAUUGAGUCAAAUGAGAGUAUUUAUUUACCUAAUGUGCACAGUAAGUGCUGACUUGAUAGGGCUUAUCUAUAUCCCGUCCUUUCAGUCCCAACCAGCCCUCCACACCUUGCCACAGGGAGAAUUAAAUAGAAGAGAGAUUUUUGUUUGACAGAAACUCUUUUUCUAGCAAUCCUAUAUUUUGUCUUUGGUGAGUGGGUUUAUUUUCUUUUUCAUUUUUUAGAGUUUUCUUGAAGUACAGUUGACAUCCAGUGUUGUGGAAACGUCCACUUUACAACAAGGCAAUGCGGGUUUUACAUACGGUUUGUGGGUUUACGUGGGGCAGGUUUUUACCUUUUCCUCUUGGCUGUGAAUUCCUUAAGGGCAAAGAUUUGGUCAUGUUCCUCUUUGGAGGGCCACCUACAAAGACGUAGUUGUUUCUUACAUCUAUGCUGAUGC
rnacentral:lncRNA from 1 species